UACGGGGGGAGCAAGCGUUGUUCGGAUUUACUGGGCGUAAAGGGCGCGUAGGCGGUAGCACAAGUCAGUUGUGAAAUCUCCGGGCUUAACUCGGAAAGGUCAACUGAUACUGUGCGACUAGAGUGCAGAAGGGGCAACUGGAAUUCUCGGUGUAGCGGUGAAAUGCGUAGAUAUCGAGAGGAACACCUGCGGCGAAGGCGGGUUGCUGGGCUGACACUGACGCUGAGGCGCGAAAGCGUGGGGAGCGAACGGG
rnacentral:rRNA from 1 species